UGCCUACCACUCCCAGCAGCCCCCUCGGCAGGGAAGCCGCUCAUGGCGUCGGAGGGGCACCGCAAGGGCUGCUGGGAGUUGUAGUUCCGGGAAAAGGGCGGGAGAAUGGGCUCCCACAGCAAGGCGCAGCGCGGGGCUGAGGGCACGCCGUGAGAGGAAAAAUCCAGCGUGGGCAUGGUGGGAGAGAAAAAAAUCGUGUCUGCGUCAGUGACAGAGUAGGAACAUUCGCACAGAGUCCAGAAAUUCCUUGUUGUUAGAUUUUUACUGUUGUCACUGCAUCCCCUCACCUCACAAUCCUUCCGGCCCAGAGCCUCUCCAGCAUUGAGGUUCCAUGUGGAGUGACAAACCCAGAAGGCCAGCCGCUGCCGUCAUGAGGAGCACUGCAGGUAGACCGUGCCCAUCGCUUUGGAGAUGGUUUCCAUUCUAGCAUGGAUCCUUCCUUGCCUCUUCGAACACUGGGUGUAGGGUUCUCCUUGGUGUGCAGAGCCAUGCCCAGCUGAAUGGUCCCUCCAGAGGAACCAGGAAUAUGACCACAACUGUGGACAUGAAUAAUUUGGCAGGCUGAGGAACCUAAAUAAGAUUUACAAAGAUUUAAUGCAUUACUCACAUUUGUCUUUAAGAGGUUUUAGUUUUAAAUAGCUUUGAGCUAUAAAUA